AAGGUUACAAUACAAAACUAAAUGUUCUUUGUGCAUGCACCCCUUCAUAAAACUGGCAUAUGUGGGCACGAUAAAGUGUAGCUAGCAUGUCUAGGCUGGACAAUAGAAUGAGUCAAAAUUCCCCCAAGGAUGAAACAUGGCAAAAGAAAGGUUAGCUAAGCUGGAACACUAGCAUAUGAAUGGAAUUGAACAUUCCCAGGGUCUCUUCUGACUGGAGUGACGCUUAUAAUUCCAUUUAUGUAUCCCUUUUUAUUUUACCACUACAAUCUGUUCUUAGGAUAACUUGUGUAGAAAGUAAACAUCCGCACCUCGAUGGUGCCAAGUUUGAGUAUGUCUGCAUAACAAGGAAGUAGUUACAUGAGUAAUGUGUUGUGGUGUACAUUUUAACUACCAACGUGGGCAUUGCCAAAAACAGCGAAGCAGGCGGCGUGACUUAGAACAAUUUGAGUAGAACGGUCGGAAGGCGAGUUGGUGUCACGGUGCUCAGUAUAACUGUUUGGAGCCGGGAAAAUGUCCCAAAAUAAGGCCUGUUUUUUUCGUGAUUACUUCAAAACUACGGCAGACAGCUGGGACAUUAUGAAACUGGGCUCCAUGGCGGAUGCUAUUAACUAGUUUUAUCAGAAAAAGUAUUCGUGUCUUGUAAUAUGCACAUUGUAAACAUAGAUGGUUUACUAAUUGCAGUUUCUUCAUUUUGUGAUAGGUCACGUUGCAAUUAUGUAUAUGGAAAGGUCACGUUGCAAUUAUGUAUAUGGAAAGGUGCACGUUGCAAUUAUGUAUAUGGAAAGGUGCACAAUAAACCAAAUCUGAUAUGACCGUCUUCUCCAUAAGUAAACUAAAGUUGAUGCAUUGACGCGACACUGAAAUCUAUCUAGCUUAGUAUCCUGAUUCAGUGACUGUUUUGGUUACUAGUAGCUAGUUAGCCAACUUUACCAGAUGUUCGAAGCAACAUCACAUUCAUCUUCUACGACCGGGUUGAACUAGCUACCUAAGUAAAUGUACUUUAAAAUAAGAUAGCAAAUUACGUAGCAUAUCCAGCUAGGUAGCUAGCAUUAGCUCGAUCGCUUACGACAGCCCCGGAUCUCAAGCAGGGUAAACUAGUUUAAUGAAAAUAGCACACGCCUCACCUUGGUACAAUACUUGCGUAGCUGGUGCUGUCUACACUUCUAUCAGAUAUCGUUUGUCAUGAAAGCCGCCAGAUGUUUGAAUUUGAAUUUCAACCGGACGUUGUGGCGGGUGAAAGCUGAUUUCCUAUAGACUAAAGGGGAAGUGGAACAACGUUUUUCAUUUCCGCUCCCUGAAAUAAAUAAGAUGUUGUCUAUGACCCCUGUUCUUUCCUUGAGCAAUUAUUAUAAAAUAAAAAAAGAUGCAUAAUAGCAUCAUAUCUCAGAAUGAUUUCCUUUGAAAGCCUGGGAAAACGCUUGGGCUUCUUCUGGAUGAUCUGGACAUGCUAUACAACCCCAAAAUAUGUAUUACCGCCACCAACUGGACGACGUUGAAAAAAACAAGGUAUCAAUCACUC